CCUACGGGAGGCAGCAGUGAGGAAUAUUGGUCAAUGGGCUUACGCCUGAACCAGCCAAGUCGCGUGAGGGAAGACUGCCCUAUGGGUUGUAAACCUCUUUUGUCAGGGAGCAACGCCGGCUACGUGUAGCCGGACUGAGAGUACCUGAAGAAAAAGCAUCGGCUAACUCCGUGCCAGCAGCCGCGGUAAUACGGAGGAUGCGAGCGUUAUCCGGAUUUAUUGGGUUUAAAGGGUGCGUAGGCGGAAUGCCAAGUCAGCGGUAAAAUCGCGGGGCUCAACCUCGCUCCGCCGUUGAAACUGGACGCCGUGAGUUCACAACAGGCAGGCGGAAUUCGUGGUGUAGCGGUGAAAUGCAUAGAUAUCACGAGGAACCCCGAUUGCGAAGGCAGCCUGCCGGGGUGCGACUGACGCUGAGGCUCGAAGGUGCGGGUAUCAAACAGGAUUAGAUACCCUGGUAGUC
rnacentral:rRNA from 1 species